rnacentral:rRNA from 1 species
AGAAAUCAACCGAGAUUCCGCUAGUAGUGGCGAGCGAACGCGGAAGAGGCCAAACCGGAGGUAGCAAUAUUUCCGGGGUUAGGACUGCAAUAUGUAACUUUAAUCUUUAACUGAAUGCUUUGGGAAGAGCAGCAAUAUAGGGUGAUAGCCCCGUAAGUGAAAAGGAUUGAGUGCUAGCAGUAUCCAGAGUACCAGCGGACACGUGAAACCCGCUGGGAAGAUGGGGGGACCAUCCUCCAAGCCUAAAUACUACUCAGUGACCGAUAGUGGAGCAGUACCGUGAGGGAAAGGUGAAAAGUACCCCGGGAGGGGAGUGAAAAAGAACCUGAAACCUUGUGCCUACAAGCACCGAGAGCACGUUAAAGUGUGAUCGGGUACUUUUUGUAGAACGGUCCGGCGAGUUAAUAUUUGCAGCGAGGUUAAGGAACUGGAGUUCCGGAGCCGCAGCGAGAGCGAGUCUGAAUAGGGCGUAUGAAGUUGCAGGUAUUAGACCCGAAACCGGGUGACCUAUCCAUGAGCAGGCUGAAGCGGUGGUAAGACACCGUGGAGGGCCGCACCCACGUCUGUUGAAAAAGCCGGGGAUGACUUGUGGAUAGCGGAGAAAUUCCAAUCGAACUCGGAGAUAGCUGGUUCUCCCCGAAAUAGCUUUAGGGCUAGCGUUAUUUUAGAUUACCGGAGGUAAAGCACUGAAUGGUCUAGGGGCCGCGAGGUUACCAAAGCCUAUCAAACUCUGAAUGCCGGAUAAUUGAUGAAUAGCAGUCAGACUGUGUGAGAUAAGUCUCAUAGUCAAAAGGGAAACAGCCCAGAUCUACAGCUAAGGUCCCAAAUGAACACUAAGUGGAAAAUGAUGUGAAACUGCGAAGACAACCAGGAUGUUGGCUUAGAAGCAGCCACUCAUUCAAAGAGUGCGUAAUAGCUCACUGGUCGAGUGGUUUUGCGCAGAAAAUGUAACGGGGCUAAGUGUUCAACCGAAGCUUAGGCAUUGCAGUAAUGCAUUGGGUAGGGGAGCGUCGUAUGCGGGGCGAAGUCAGAGCGGAAGCACUGGUGGACUGCAUACGAGUGAGAAUGCCGGAAUAAGUAGCGAGAAUUAUGUGAGAAUCAUAAUGGCCGAAAAUCUAAGGUUUCUUGGGGAAGGUUCGUCCGCCCAAGGUUAGUCGGGAGCUAAGCUCAGGCCGAAAGGCGUAGGCGAUGCACAUACGGUAGAAAUUCCGUAACCACCGAACAUUUAAGCUAGAGGGACGCUUUCUUUAAGGUUAUCCCGGGCGAUGGUUGCCCCGGGCGUAAGGGACCGAAAUUUAGUAGGGAAGUAGACGGCGUGAGAGACGAGAAAAGCUCUAGUGUAUACUAAGGUGCCCGUACCGCAAACCGACACAGGUAGAUGGGAUGAGUAUUCUAAGGCCAACGGGAGAAGGGUUGUUAAGGAACUCGGCAAAUUGGCCCCGUAACUUCGGGAUAAGGGGCGCCUGCGAGAGCAGGCCGCAGUGAAAAGGCCCAAGCGACUGUUUAGCAAAAACACAGCUCUCUGCUAAAUCGAAAGAUGACGUAUAGGGGGUGACGCCUGCCCGGUGCUGGAAGGUUAAGGGGAGUGCUUAGCGCAAGCGAAGGUGCGAACUUAAGCCCCAGUAAACGGCGGCCGUAACUAUAACGGUCCUAAGGUAGCGAAAUUCCUUGUCAGGUAAGUUCUGACCCGCACGAAUGGCGUAACGAUUUGGGCACUGUCUCAACAGCCCGCCCGGCGAAAUUGUAGUACCGGUGAAGAUGCCGGUUUCCCGCAACUAGACGGAAAGACCCCAUGGAGCUUCACUGUAGCUUGAUAUUGGAUCUCGGUAUUCCAUGUACAGGAUAGGUGGGAGGCUAGGAAGCGAGCGCGCCAGCGUUCGUGGAGCCAACCUUGGGAUACCACUCUUGGGAUAUUGGGAUUCUAACCUGCGACCAUGAAUCUGGUCGGGGGACACUGUCAGGUGGGCAGUUUGACUGGGGCGGUCGCCUCCAAAAGAGUAACGGAGGCGCUCAAAGGUUCGUUCAGCACGGAUGGAAAUCGUGCACUGAGUGUAAACGCAUAAACGAGCCUAACUGCGAGAAUGACGGUUCGAGCAGUAACGAAAGUUGGAGUUAGUGAUCCGGCGGUAUGUGAAUGGAAAUGCC